UACAGAGGUCCCAAGCGUUGUUCGGAUUCACUGGGCGUAAAGGGUGCGUAGGUGGCCAGGUAAGUUCGGUGUGAAAGCUCGGAGCUUAACUCCGAAAUGUCAUUGAAUACUAUCUGGCUGGAGGGUCGGAGGGGAGACUGGAAUUCUCGGUGUAGCAGUGAAAUGCGUAGAUAUCGAGAGGAACACCAGUGGCGAAGGCGAGUCUCUGGACGACUCCUGACACUGAGGCACGAAAGCUAAGGGGAGCAAACAGG
rnacentral:rRNA from 1 species